UCUCCAUCCAACAGAACCAAAUCAACAAAUGCAUUUAACACCCUCUAGGUGCAAAGCCUCAGGGCCAAAUGCUGUGGAGAAAUGGGGCACCGCCUAAGACGGACUCCCGGCCCUGACAAGGAGAAAACUUUCCUUUGAUGUGAAGAUGGCCUGUUCUGGUGUCGUGGAAAGUUCUGUCUGCCCUCCCUGCUCAGGGGAUCAAAUGAAAGAAGGCUUUAUGAAGCUGCCACCCAGGCCUUCCCGAGAGUGGCCAGGCCUCGGGCUGGAGGCAGGCCCCGUCCUACCGAGCCGUCCUCUGAACCGUGGGCCUGGCCUGAAGCGUCUCACUUUGGAACCUUUUGUCAGAAGCUGGCUGUGAGCGUCUCACCUAAGAAUGUUGGUUGGCAAACCCUAACUACCUGUAACCACAUCAGAACCACACCUGUAUUCAUGUGGCUUUCUUCCUGAUGCCCGUGUGAACCCGCGAUCUGGCUUAUACGAUGUUAGGUUUCUACCUUCUAGAGGAAUAAAGCAAACCAAAACAUUUAAUGCAAAAAGCCCACUUUGAAAAGUCCGA